UACGUAGGGGGCAAGCGUUGUCCGGAAUCAUUGGGCGUAAAGCGCGUGUAGGCGGUUUCGUAAGUCUGCUGUGAAAGUCGGAGGCUCAACCUUCGAAAGCCGGUGGAUACUGCUCUGACUUGAGUUCGGUAGGGGAGUGGGGAAUUCCUGGUGUAGCGGUGAAAUGCGCAGAUAUCAGGAGGAACACCGGUGGCGAAGGCGCCACUCUGGGCCGAAACUGACGCUGAGGAGCGAAAGCGUGGGGAGCAAACAGG
rnacentral:rRNA from 1 species